AAACUAGUUUUGGAGAAACAAAGGGGAGGGUGACAAAUAAGAGCAAGCGGGCCGGGCUAGAGGUAUUGGAGGACUGUAAAAAAUCUCUUGUGGCUCAGAGUAAGACCUUUAACUCUCGCCAAGAAGUACGAUCAAAGAAAACAAUAUGCGGGGUUUGUUCUCAACAGUCUUGGUGCUUCUUGUGGCCUUGAUGAUAGUCACCACUGAAGCAGGCAAAAAUAAGAAAGAGAAGGGGAAAGGGGCCAAGGGUGGUGCCUCUGACUGUGCUGAAUGGCGCUAUGGUAGCUGUGUGCCUAACAGCGGAGACUGUGGAGUCGGUGUCAGAGAGGGUACCUGCAACGACCAGAUGAGGAAACUGAAAUGCAAAGUACCUUGCAACUGGAAGAAGGAG